rnacentral:rRNA from 1 species
AGAGUUUGAUCCUGGCUCAGANCCNUNGCUGGCGGCAGGCCUCAAACAUGCAAGUCUAGGGGUGUAGCAAUACACACCGGCGGACGGGUGCGUAACGCGUGGGAACAUACCUUUCGGUACGGAACAACCCAGGGAAACUUGGGCUAAUACCGUAUACGCCCUAACGGGGAAAGAAUUUCGCCGAAGGAUUGGCCCGCGUUCGAUUAGCUAGUUGGUGAGGUAACGGCUCACCAGGGCUACGAUCGAUAGCUGUUCUGAGAGGAAGAUCAGCCACACUGGGACUGAGACACGGCCCAGACUCCUACGGGAGGCAGCAGUUGGGAAUCUUGGACAAUGGGGGAAACCCUGAUCCAGCCAUGCCGCGUGAGUGAUGAAGGCCUUCGGGUUGUAAAACUCUUUCGACGGGGACGAUAAUGACGGUACCCGUAGAAGAAGCUCCGGCUAACUUCGUGCCAGCAGCCGCGGUAAUACGGAGGAUCCAAGCGUUAUCCGGAUUUAUUGGGUUUAAAGGGUGCGUAGGCGGCCUGUUAAGUCAGGGGUGAAAGACGGUAGCUCAACUAUCGCAGUGCCCUUGAUACUGAUGGGCUUGAAUGUACUUGAGGUAGGCGGAAUGUGACAAGUAGCGGUGAAAUGCAUAGAUAUGUCACAGAACACCAAUUGCGAAGGCAGCUUACUAAAGUAUGAUUGACGCUGAGGCACGAAAGCGUGGGGAUCAAACAGGAUUAGAUACCCUGGUAGUCCACGCCCUAA